GAUGAACGCUGGCGGCGUGCCUAAUACAUGCAAGUCGAGCGAACGGACGAGAAGCUUGCUUCUCUGAUGUUAGCGGCGGACGGGUGAGUAACACGUGGAUAACCUACCUAUAAGACUGGGAUAACUUCGGGAAACCGGAGCUAAUACCGGAUAAUAUUUUGAACCGCAUGGUUCAAAAGUGAAAGACGGUCUUGCUGUCACUUAUAGAUGGAUCCGCGCUGCAUUAGCUAGUUGGUAAGGUAACGGCUUACCAAGGCAACGAUGCAUAGCCGACCUGAGAGGGUGAUCGGCCACACUGGAACUGAGACACGGUCCAGACUCCUACGGGAGGCAGCAGUAGGGAAUCUUCCGCAAUGGGCGAAAGCCUGACGGAGCAACGCCGCGUGAGUGAUGAAGGUCUUCGGAUCGUAAAACUCUGUUAUUAGGGAAGAACAUAUGUGUAAGUAACUGUGCACAUCUUGACGGUACCUAAUCAGAAAGCCACGGCUAACUACGUGCCAGCAGCCGCGGUAAUACGUAGGUGGCAAGCGUUAUCCGGAAUUAUUGGGCGUAAAGCGCGCGUAGGCGGUUUUUUAAGUCUGAUGUGAAAGCCCACGGCUCAACCGUGGAGGGUCAUUGGAAACUGGAAAACUUGAGUGCAGAAGAGGAAAGUGGAAUUCCAUGUGUAGCGGUGAAAUGCGCAGAGAUAUGGAGGAACACCAGUGGCGAAGGCGACUUUCUGGUCUGUAACUGACGCUGAUGUGCGAAAGCGUGGGGAUCAAACAGGAUUAGAUACCCUGGUAGUCCACGCCGUAAACGAUGAGUGCUAAGUGUUAGGGGGUUUCCGCCCCUUAGUGCUGCAGCUAACGCAUUAAGCACUCCGCCUGGGGAGUACGACCGCAAGGUUGAAACUCAAAGGAAUUGACGGGGACCCGCACAAGCGGUGGAGCAUGUGGUUUAAUUCGAAGCAACGCGAAGAACCUUACCAAAUCUUGACAUCCUUUGACAACUCUAGAGAUAGAGCUUUCCCCUUCGGGGGACAAAGUGACAGGUGGUGCAUGGUUGUCGUCAGCUCGUGUCGUGAGAUGUUGGGUUAAGUCCCGCAACGAGCGCAACCCUUAAGCUUAGUUGCCAUCAUUAAGUUGGGCACUCUAAGUUGACUGCCGGUGACAAACCGGAGGAAGGUGGGGAUGGCGUCAAAUCAUCAUGCCCCUUAUGAUUUGGGCUACACACGUGCUACAAUGGACAAUACAAAGGGCAGCGAAACCGCGAGGUCAAGCAAAUCCCAUAAAGUUGUUCUCAGUUCGGAUUGUAGUCUGCAACUCGACUACAUGAAGCUGGAAUCGCUAGUAAUCGUAGAUCAGCAUGCUACGGUGAAUACGUUCCCGGGUCU
rnacentral:rRNA from 1 species